ACAUGGUCUACUGACGUGAAGACAGAUCAUCCAAUCAUGGUGAGCAACAGAGACGCCGCAGCCGGCACAUGCAUCCUGUCUCCAGCUCACAGGUGCAAAGUGAGAGGAUGCUGAAGACUGGACUGCAUUCAGAUAAGGAGUGCGCUUGUGGAUGAGGAGGCCCCACCCUCCCACAGUGGGGCGACAGCUGGGACUCGACGGAUGCCCCGCCCUUCACCGCGAGCCAAGCCGACGAGCCGUUCAUCCACACGUGACAGGUUGGACCAGUCAUUAUGUUCCAGUGCACAUGAGCCGACACGGAUACAACUGUCUGAUGCUUGACAAAGAGAAUGAUUCAAGUGAAUCCCCGAGCACACCGCAGUGAGGCGUCGGCCUGUUACUGGACGCCGCCCGCCUGUGGAGGUGUGUGGUCGCCUUCGUCCUCCCAGGACGAGGAGGUGAACCCCGCGGGGGCGGAGAUGGAGUGAGGGGCGGGGGUGUGGCCGAGGCCUUGGUACCGCCCGCUCGAGGAAGGCGAGGAGG